CCUGAUGGCUCAGAGGGUAAAGCAUCUGUAUGCAAUGCAGGAGACCUGGGUUCAAUCCCUGGGUCAGGA
rnacentral:tRNA from 1 species